CCUACCCCUAGUGGCAUUGCAGGGAUGGCUGUGUGUCACAUGUGCAUCAGUAGGUGGCAGAGAAGAGAGGCUAUGUCUAUGCUUAGUGUUCUGACCCAUGGACAUCUGAAUGACUAGUAUCCUAAGAGU
ensembl:snoRNA Gm22371 small nucleolar RNA SNORA17